CGGCAGGCCUAACACAUGCAAGUCGAGCGGAUGAAGAGAGCUUGCUCUCUGAUUCAGCGGCGGACGGGUGAGUAAUGCCUAGGAAUCUGCCUGGUAGUGGGGGACAACGUCUCGAAAGGGACGCUAAUACCGCAUACGUCCUACGGGAGAAAGCAGGGGACCUUCGGGCCUUGCGCUAUCAGAUGAGCCUAGGUCGGAUUAGCUAGUUGGUGAGGUAAUGGCUCACCAAGGCGACGAUCCGUAACUGGUCUGAGAGGAUGAUCAGUCACACUGGAACUGAGACACGGUCCAGACUCCUACGGGAGGCAGCAGUGGGGAAUAUUGGACAAUGGGCGAAAGCCUGAUCCAGCCAUGCCGCGUGUGUGAAGAAGGUCUUCGGAUUGUAAAGCACUUUAAGUUGGGAGGAAGGGUUGUAGAUUAAUACUCUGCAAUUUUGACGUUACCGACAGAAUAAGCACCGGCUAACUCUGUGCCAGCAGCCGCGGUAAUACAGAGGGUGCAAGCGUUAAUCGGAAUUACUGGGCGUAAAGCGCGCGUAGGUGGUUUGUUAAGUUGGAUGUGAAAGCCCCGGGCUCAACCUGGGAACUGCAUUCAAAACUGACAAGCUAGAGUAUGGUAGAGGGUGGUGGAAUUUCCUGUGUAGCGGUGAAAUGCGUAGAUAUAGGAAGGAACACCAGUGGCGAAGGCGACCACCUGGACUGAUACUGACACUGAGGUGCG
rnacentral:rRNA from 1 species